AGUGUUACACAGAGGAUCUGAUGAUGCGGAACAAAGACACUCGAUUAUCUUCAAAAUUGUUAUAAAUCGGAUACUCAUGAAAACAUCGUUUUGGACCUAAGGGAAGAAGGUGUGUAUAUACCUGUUGAUUCACUUGUUGGACUCAGGAUUAGGACCGCUAGGGACUUGAUGGGCAGCUGCAGCAAAUGAAGGUGGUGUUUGUUGUGCUUGUUGUGGCUGUAACUUUGUGGUUGUAGUAGUUGCUGUGGUUUUAGAAGAAGAGGAGGAUAAGAGUUGCCUGGAAGGGAAUGAUGGGGAGGAGUCCAUGAAUAAUUUUCUGGAGAAAUCUGGAGAAUGAUGAGAAAGCUGGAGAGGAAGAAUAAAGAGAAGAGCAAGAAGAAUGAUAGCAGCUACAAGUACUUGUGAUGACUUUGUUGAUGAGGCUUCCCAAACUGAUGAUUUAGUAG